UUUAUUGCUCUGGAUUAUUUGUUGGAAGAAGGAUCUACAAUGGAAAGUGUGGAUAUCAUCAACUGUGUCUCCAAACUCAGACAGCAAAGAGCACAUUCCAUACAAACCAAGGAGCAGUACAUUUUUCUGUAUGAUGCUCUUGCACAGGGAUUGAUCAAUAUAAGAAGAACGCCUUUAUAUCAGCUUGUUGAUGAAAUCUGAAGUCUGUCUCUUUUUAUGCCCCCGUUAGCGAAGAAUCGGGGUAUAGAGUUUUUGCCCUGUCCGUCUGUCUGUUUGUCUGUAUAUCUGCAAAAAACUUAAACUUUUAUCUUAACUUUUGACUAGGUGAAGCAGUGGCUUUCACAUUUCAAAGGUGAAUUCCUUGUUACAAGACCUUUCUUUGGGUACCACCAAUUUUGACCUAUUGACCUUGAUUUUAGAGUUUGAUACAG